GUUAGGAAUCUUCGGCAAUGGGGGAAACCCUGACCGAGCGACACUGCUUGAAGGAUGAAGGUCUUCGGAUCGUAAACUUCUGAACCUGCGACGAAAAAUGACGGUAGCAGGCUAAUAGCACCGGCUAACUCCGUGCCAGCAGCCGCGGUAAUACGGAGGGUGCAAGCGUUAUCCGGAAUCACUGGGCGUAAAGGGCGCGUAGGCGGUUUGUUAAGUCCGAUGUUAAAGACCGAGGCUCAACCUCGACACGGCGUUGGAUACUGGCAAGCUGGACGGUUGGAGAGGAAGGUAGAAUUACCAGUGUAGCGGUGGAAUGCGUAGAUACUGGUAGGAAUACCCAUUGCGAAGGCAGCCUUCUGGACAACACGUGACGCUGAGGCGCGAAAGUGUGGGGAGCAAACCGGAUUAGAAACCCUAGUAGUCC
rnacentral:rRNA from 1 species